rnacentral:rRNA from 1 species
GACGAACGCUGGCGGCGUGCUUAACACAUGCAAGUCGAGCGGAGCGGCGAACGGGUGAGUAACGCGUGAGUAACUGCCCCCCUCUCUGGGGUAACGGUUGGAAACGGCUGCUAAUACCUGAUAGUGGGGGAUGACUCGGGUCCUAUCAGCUUGUUGGUGGGGUAGUGGCAUACCAAGGCGACGACGGGUAGCCGGCCUGAGAGGGCGACCGGCCACAUUGGGCUGAGAUACGGCGCAGACUCCAACGUGGGGCAGCGGUGGGGAGUAUUGCGCAAUGGGGGAAACCCUGAUGCAGCAGCGCCGCGGGCGGAAUGACGGCCUUCGGGUUGUGAACCGCUUUCAGCCAUGACGCGGUAGUGGCAGAAGAAGCACCGGCUAACUACGUGCCAGCCGCCGCGGUAAUAC